rnacentral:rRNA from 1 species
GAUGAACGCUGGCGGCGUGCCUAAUACAUGCAAGUCGAGCGAACAGACGAGGAGCUUGCUCCUCUGACGUUAGCGGCGGACGGGUGAGUAACACGUGGAUAACCUACCUAUAAGGCUGGGAUAACUUCGGGAAACCGGAGCUAAUACCGGAUAAUAUAUUGAACCGCAUGGUUCAAUAGUGAAAGACGGUUUUGCUGUCACUUAUAGAUGGAUCCGCGCCGCAUUAGCUAGUUGGUAAGGUAACGGCUUACCAAGGCAACGAUGCGUAGCCGACCUGAGAGGGUGAUCGGCCACACUGGAACUGAGACACGGUCCAGACUCCUACGGGAGGCAGCAGUAGGGAAUCUUCCGCAAAGGGCGAAAGCUUGACGGAGCAACGCCGCGUGAGUGAUGAAGGUCUUCGGAUCGUAAAACUCUGUUAUUAGGGAAGAACAAAUGUGUAAGUAACUAUGCACGUCUUGACGGUACCUAAUCAGAAAGCCACGGCUAACUACGUG